rnacentral:rRNA from 1 species
ACGAGUUUGAUCAUGGCUCAGGAUGAACGCUAGCGGCAGGCCUAACACAUGCAAGUCGAGGGGUAGUUACGUUUCGGGUAAUGAGACCGGCGCACGGGUGCGUAACGCGUAUGCAAUCUACCUUUUACAGGGGAAUAGCCCAGAGAAAUUUGGAUUAAUGCCCCAUAGUAUGUAUGAAUCGCAUGGUUUAUACAUUAAAGUUCCAACGGUAAAAGAUGAGCAUGCGUCCCAUUAGUUAGUUGGUAAGGUAACGGCUUACCAAGACGAUGAUGGGUAGGGGUCCUGAGAGGGAGAUCCCCCACACUGGUACUGAGACACGGACCAGACUCCUACGGGAGGCAGCAGUGAGGAAUAUUGGACAAUGGGCGCAAGCCUGAUCCAGCCAUGCCGCGUGCAGGAAGAAGCAUCUAUGGUGUGUAAACUGUCUUUUGUACAGGAAGAAACACUCCCUCGUGAGGGAGUUUGACGGUACUGUAAGAAUGAGGAUCGGCUAACUCCGUG